UGACCAUAUAACACCCAAGCAAUUUGACUACUCGAAAGAGCAUCAGAUUGCGGUGUGUGAAGACGCAAUGAACCGAAAGUUCGAUGCUCACAAAACACCGACAGCUGUCACAUACCCAAUUUGCUGAAGCGAGGCCAACUGGUCACGACUCAGUACCCGAAUUUCUUGACGACCAUAGAGCAUUGGAACCACCUGAUCCCAUCCCGAACUCAGCAGUGAAACGAUGCAUCGCCGAUGGUAGUGUGGGGUUUCCCCAUGUGAGAGUAGGUCAUCGUCAAGA
rnacentral:rRNA from 2 species